GAUGAAGAACGCAGCAAAUCGCGAUAUGUAGUGUGAUCUGCCCAUAGUGAAUCAUCAAAUUUUUGAACGCAUCUUGCACCCUUGGGUAUUCCUAAGGGUACGCCUGUUUCAGUAUCAUUCUAACUUCUUUUCCCCAUGAUUGGGGGAUGGAAAAAUUACGAUUGGCCUGGUAAGAACGUCUUUGGGCGUACUACUUGGCUUGAAUAUGACUCGGUUUUUGACUGGGUAGCCACCUUUUGGUAGUGAAUUCUGCAAAAAGUAAAGCUUUCCUAUAAGAAAACUCGGGCUAAUUUUAGCCCAAACUCAUACAAUUUGAUCUGAAAUCAGGCGGGAUUACCCGCUGAACUUAAGCAUAUCCAAUAAGCGGAGGA
rnacentral:misc_RNA from 1 species